rnacentral:lncRNA from 1 species
UCAAGCAUACAAAAACUACCGAAAAUUCCACUACUUUUGCGACCAACGUAACGAUAGAGGUGACUACAUAACCGGUAGUACCUACCACAACAACCUCAAAAUCGCUUUUAUCUACCUCACUUUCAACUCAAAAAUUGACUACGGUUUCUACAACACCAACUAUGGCCAAAACAAUGACAAAGUAAACGUCAUUGGAAUAUGUAGAGGAGACAUUAAUCCUCAAGACUGUCGCAAAUGCCUAAUAGGUUCCAGAUUCAAUCUCACACAAGCAUGUCCAAACAAAAAAGAAGCAAUUGGAUGGUACGAGGAUGAGAAAUGCAUGUUACGUUAUUCAGACCGUUCUAUAUUAGGCCUAAACGAAAUUGGGCCAGCUUAUACUAUGUGGAACUCGAACAACGCAACAAUGGCAGAUCAACUUAGUAUCUUAGUAACACAACUAUUAAAUGAUUUAAGAAGCAAGGCUAUAAAUGGUGACUCACAUAGUAAGUAUGUUGUUGGAACAUCGCCGGGUCCUAGUAAUAAUCAAUCACCUUCUCAACAAAGUAGUGGUGAAACAAUAUAUGGUCUUGUUCAGUGUACACCUGACUUGUCUGGUCCACAAUGUGAUGAUUGUUUGCUUCAAUCUAUUGCUGGAAUUUCAAGAUUUAGCAAUAGGAGUAGUGCUAGAAUGAUUAGACCAAGCUGUUAUUUGAGGUUUGCAACUUCAUAUCAAUUCUAUCAACCCAAACCAAAACUGGCUUCCCAACUCCCAUGAUCAACAACACUUUUCUCGAAGGUAAUUGUAAGGUGAGAGGAUCUCUCUUCAUAAACUUUUUUUCAGCUUUAUCUCUUUUGAAUAUGCAUGUGAUUUAAGUUAUUUCCAAUACACUUUUUAAUGCCAUGAUUUUUGGGUUUGGUCGGUCAUCCGGUAAUUUGGUGGGUGAUUCAAAUGAAUGAAUUUGGAUAAUAUAUUAUGUUUUUAUAUUUGGUUCAAGUCCUAUUCUUAGUAAGCAGAUUUGUAAAAUAUAAACGCCACUCUUUACUAAUUUUCCAUUUAAUUAAAUAUCUCACCGAUAUGAUUAGUUCUAUUCUUUUUUAUGCAGAUAAAAUAAACACAUUGAGAACUAUUGUUGAUACAGUUCUGUUGUUGCCGCUGAUUUUGUCAUUGCUUCUUUUAUAUAACUAGUAUGUGAACUCGUGCCAAGCACGGGCAAGAAUUUCUCCAUACUCGAAGGCGAAAUAUAUUGUGAUUUAUCAAGUGUCAGUUACGGUCUAACAUUGAAUAUAAGAGUUGAAGUUGAACAACAAAUAGGUGAAAAAACUCUUGCAUUUGUGUGGUUGCUCUUUGUACAAUGAGUUGACCCACACCAAUAUUGACGAUCACUUAGAAAGUCCUACGUUUGUAUCGUAACCCGUUUCAACUUUGUGGAGAAGUGACAUUGGUUAAUGAUGGUAUAUCACAGAUGCGGAGAGUCUCGUAUUUAAGGAAUAGAUGUUAAUGUGUCAAGUGUGAGUUAAAGUUUCACAUUGGCUGCAAGAGUAAUUGUUUAACAACAUAUAAGUGAUAUGACUCAUAUACAUAAUGCCUUAAGGUUUAGGGUGAAGAUGUAGUCUCAAUCUCACUUGUGUGGUAUAUGUUAGUAUAAUGUGAUGAUCAAAAUCAAUGUAGGAUUCACCAGAAGUCACAACAUUAUGAUGAACUGUUUUUUUAGUUUUUGGAUGUCAUUUGUUUGAUUUUAAUCUUAAAAUUUAGUCUUUAAAUGUCAUUAAUUAUCUUUUCUGCGAAUUUUUUCAUUCAACCUUUAUUAUUUCAAAUUCCUUUACAUUAUAUUUUGUGUUUGCUUUAGCGUAUUUGUAAUAAGUACAACUGCGUCAUUAAGAGAGUGUUGUAUAUGGUGCAACAAGUUUAUACUUGAGUGGGUAACAACAUCCAUUUUUAUUUGGUUCUUAAAUGGGUCUCACGUGUACACAUCAUUUGUUUAUAAUUUUUUAAUAAUAGUAUUUAAUAAACACUCAAUCACUCCAACUCAAAUCUCACACAAAGUUCUUAAAUGGAACCUAUUAAUCAACUAUCAAUAAUUUUAUAUCAUUAUAUUUCAAUUUUUUAAUAUUAAUAGAGUGUGAGUCCCGCUUAAAAGUGGGGGUCUUAAGUAAGACCCCGGGUCUUAUAAGACCCUGAAAAAGAUUUUCCCCAUUGGGGGUUCUUAAUAGGUACUGGGUCUUAAAUAGUUAAGACUCUCCCAAUGGAGAUGGUCUAAUAAUUUGAUGAGGUAUUUUCUCACUUAUAUAGUCAACUACAAACCAAGUAAAUUAACUAUUGUUCCUUCCUGGUUGGGUAUAACUAUCAUUGUUCCAUCAGAUAUUGGUUGUCACGCACAACAACUUUUUGGCGCGCAUGCUUUCAGGAAGGGCAUUCGCUCUUGUUUUCAGGUGGUGUGACUGACAUGUCUUUGGGUCAUUUGAAUGAGAUAAACUCUAGAAUUUUCAACAACAUCUCUUCUAAAGAUCAACUUGUCGAUAGUAUUAAGCUUCAUUCUUGGUGGUGGCUAAAGACACAUAAACUGGAUUUUGUUUUUUAUUUUCAUUAUUGACGGUAUAUGCCGUCUCUUUGUAUAUGUUAAACCAUUUUGUAAUUAUAGGAGGGUGUAUUGGAUUAAGAUUUUAAAAGACUUUUAUUAUAAAAAAAAAAAUAAAAAAAAAAAGUCUUGUGAUAUUCAAUCAAGACUUUUUGCAAGUUAAAAAAAGUCUUGUGGUAUUCAAUCAAGACUCUUUGUCAUUUAAAAAAGUCUUGUGGUAUUCAAAAUUAUUCAAACUUCUAAAGAUUGUUUAAUAAAUUGGAUUUUGUGAGAUUUUCUAGUUAAAUUUUAGCAUGAAAAAAUCUCACAUAAAUAAGAGUCCGUAUUGAGAAUAUUGUGAAAAAAAGUGUUAUAAUCAUUUCUCUAACUUUCUCGUAAAAAUAAAUAAAUAAUUAAAAGAGUUUGUAUUGAAAAUAUUGUGAAAGAGAAUGUGUUUAUAAUCAUUUCUUCUCAAUGAAUCAUUAAAAUUCAUAAAAUCUUUUGAAAUCUUAUAAAAUCCAUAAAAUCAUUUCAAAUUCUUUAAAAUCUUAUGAUCUAAAUCCAUUGAAAUCCAUUAAAAGCAUGCAAAGUCUUUUAAAAUCCAUAAGACUUUUUUAAACAAAAAUUGUCCUUUAAAAUCCUGGUCCAAUACACCCCCCGUAGUUUCUGUCUUUACUGUGUUUGUUACUUUGACAGUACACAGUUUCCUUUUAGGAACAUCUUGUGCUUAACUCGUUUGGUUUUGAUAUAUUUUGCAUUUAGCUUCUUCAAAAAUAAAAAUUAACUUGAUUUUGAAUUUUAAGAUAGAUGAGUGGUAUGGCCUUAACUCGUUUGGUACUUUCAUUCUUUUUUUUCAACAUUUGUUUAAACCUCUUCAGAAGUAUUAAGAUUUUUAUGUCUCUCAUGGAAGUUUAUGAGACUUCCAGCUCCAAUUCCAACCCUUUGAUUCUUCAAACACAAUAUCUACUUGCUAUAUAUCAUCGUCUUGUCUUUAGGAUCGUACAACUUAUAAGCUUUAUAUUCAUCAUGCAUGCUAAGAUGAACACACGAUGUUUUUUUGCAUCUAGCUUCCUUUUUCUGAAACAUCUUAGACAUGAACAUAUGUCAAACAUCCAAAAUUUCUAAAAUGAUGUAUAAAGGGUUUCCAACCACUGCAUGCUUCUUUAGGUGUGAUGUCUUUAAAUGAGGCCUAUUUCCCCGCUUCUGGCCAAAACUUCUUUGGUAUACAUUUCUUUCUGAUAGCAUGCUUCUUACGAUAUUCAUUAGAGCCAUAUUCUUUCUUUCUAGCACUCCUCCUCCUCCUCCUUCUUUUUCUUUGAUUAUGGAUUAGUGAUGAGUAAACAACUUUGAGAAUCAAUUGUAUCUAAAUUUUUGUUGUUUGAAAUCUUUAUAAUACAUAUCUAUUACACCCAAUAUUCAAAUUACGUUUCUAGUAAAUUAAUAAGCCAAAGUCAAGUGACAAUUAAUGUGGAUUUGUGAAAUACUCAAGUGUUGUAGUCGAAACAAAGUCAUUUGUACUACAAACACAAUUAUUCAAAAUAUGUUGUAACACAAACCAAGCAUAUAUACUCAUUGUUGUCAAAAUCCCAACAUAAAUCCUAAAAUUCAGGAUUUUGCAACUGACCAUAGUAAAAUCCCAAAAUAGGCAAAUCCAUCGUUUUUUUUUUUAACAAGCCAAAAUGGAAUUAUAUACGAAAUAGGGUAGUCCCAAACGCACAAGGUGUGCCUUAGAGACGCAAAUCCAUCGGUUUUGAUUGCAAUUUUACGAUUUCUUAUAAACUAAGUCAUUUAUGACUAUAUACCAUUUAUAACAUAUAUUUAGUAUUAUUUUUUGUGGUAAAAUCCAUCGAUUUUUAUUUCGAUUUUGUGAUUUCUUAUAUCAAUUCUACAAAAGUAGUUGAGUAAAAUCCUUCGAUUUUGGUUGUGAUUUUACGAUUGUCGAUUUUGCUCUUCUCUUUCAACCUAAAGAAAAUCCCGAUUUUGACAACCAUAUACUCGAAGAAGGCUUUCUUCGAAAAUCAUAUAAAUGCAGUUCGAAGAAAGACGUCCCUGAAGACAAUUGCAAAUUCAAAGUGUUCCAAACAUCAAAAUAAUUACUACCAUGUAAUAUAAAGAUUGCAAGAGUUUAAAUGGGUGACUAUACUUGGGAAGUUAUCAACUAAAUAAGUUAAAGGAUCCAUGAAAUAAUUUUGCCAAAAUUUGUCUCACUUAUACAGAAUAAUAUAAAAUCGGUUAAAACAAGCACAGUUGCACCAUCAAACUUUUGGUAGAAGAAUAUCCACUAAUCUCAAUUGCGACAUUCAAAAUACACGGAAAGACACAACUAUUGGUCAUCUGUCUGAACAUUGGUGAGAUAAGCUAUCCAUUAACUUGAAAUCGAUAAUGGGAAGAGCCAAAAAAUUAUUACCCUAAGCUAGUGGCCAAGAAAAUGGAUUUUCGAGGUGGAUCACUUUCAUUUCAAGUGGUGCACAGGCAAUCAAUUAAGGAUAUUAAAGGACAACUUGUGAUGGAACAAAUUCAUUUUUAUUGAUCUCAUGAGAAUACAUUUCUGUGCACAUAAUCAUGAUUUUUAUUUUAUUGAAAGCAUGUAAAAUUAUUAUUGAAAAUGAUUUAUUUUGUUUUAUUUGAAAUAAAAUUGUUUUUUAAGGGUGGCUCUAUGGUGCCAUAACCGCUAUAUUUUUGUAUUAAGUGAUUGUUUUAUACCUUUAAUUUUAUUUUUUAUCACCAAAAUCUUAUUUGUGUGUGAGACAUUGAGAAGUGAGACAGACCAACAUAGUGUCGUAAUCAUCGUUCACGUCUUUUAUGUUCGUGAUUUUGACGAGUUCUUAUGUUCUCCGAUUGUUAUGGACACACCAUUGCUACAACCAGCCUAUACAUAUUUUUUAUGUAUAAGAAAAUUAAUCUAAGGGCGAUCUUAUUUGUUCAUAAAGACAAUUGAUCUAGUUGAUGGAUGUUAAUUCAUGUGGUACGUAUUUGCAUUGACCUGCAUAUAUAUGAGCAUGAUGUUGGUUCACUCUUUUUCAACAAACUAAGUGAAACGGGUCAACUUGAGUUGUCAAGCUCAAAACUUCACCUCGCUCCAUUUUAAAUUACAGUUAAAUACGGCAGGCUAAUAGGCUUAAUCCGUCUGUUUUAUCAUCCUUUCCGUUAAACUCAAUUUUCAUUGGUAAUGAUUCACACUAUUAUUAAUUGGAUUAACUUUUUUUUACCACUACUAACUCAAUCCAGCUUGAAAAGUCUUUGUCAUUUCCACAACCUAAAAGAAACAUGAUUUGCGAUCUGCUUUUCGCAAUAGAUUCGUUGAUUUAAAUUGGUCCUUUAUGUUAGAAAAUGACUAACUUAAGAAAGUAAUUUGUAACAAAGCACUACACUUAAAGGGCUACUUUGAAAAAAAUUGUAACAUAAAAAAUAUAUUAAAGGAUUAAUUUGUUAUAAACAUCCAACUUAAAGGACAGCGUGAGGUAUUUAACCUUUAAAUUAAAAUGUUAUAAAAAAAUUGCAAAUUAUAUUAAACAUGGCCAAGAAUAGAAACUUCAUCUUUGCCUAUAAAAGCUCAUUCAUAUGUCUAAACCUUCAAUCAUCCGACUAAUUGUUUCCUUAAGUACAAUCAAUAUGUCUAUUCUCUCUUUAAGCCCACUUUCCUUUCUCUUUCUCAUAAUUAUCCUUUUCACAUCUAAAGCCAAAGCAGACAACAACGACCAAAAAUUCCACUACUUUUGCGACCAAAAUAACGAUAGAGGUAACUACAUAACCGGUAGUGCCUACGACAACAACCUCAAAUUCGCUAUCAUGCACCUCACUUACAACUCAAAAAUUGACUACGGUUUCUACAACACCAACUAUGGCCAAAACAAUGACACAGUAAACGCCAUUGGAAUAUGUAGAGGAGACAUUAAUCCUCAAGAUUGUCGCAAAUGC